GCUAGGACGAACGCUGGCGGCAUGCCUAACACAUGCAAGUCAACGGGGUUAAUAAAAGUUACUUUCGAAUUAAACCUAGUGGCGGACGGGUGAGUAACGCGUGGAUAAUCUGCCUAUUAGUCUGGGAUAACUCCGGGAAACCGGAGCUAAUACCGGAUAACAUUUUUCUUCGCAUGGAGAGAAUUAAAGGGUUUCCGCUAAUAGAUGAAUCCGCGUCCCAUUAGCUAGUUGGUGGGGUAAAGGCCUACCAAGGCAACGAUGGGUAGCCGGCCUGAGAGGGUGAACGGCCACACUGGGACUGAGACACGGCCCAGACUCCUACGGGAGGCAGCAGUGGGGAAUAUUCCGCAAAUGGGGGAAACCCUGACGGAGCAAUGCCGCGUGAGGGACGAAGGCUUUCGGGUUGUAAACCUUUGUUUUAUGGGAAGAUAGUGACGGUACCAUAAGAGGAAGCCCCGGCUAACUACGUGCCAGCAGCUGC
rnacentral:rRNA from 1 species